AGUGAACGCUGGCGGUAGGCCUAACACAUGCAAGUCGAACGGCAGCACAGUAAGAGCUUGCUCUUACGGGUGGCGAGUGGCGGACGGGUGAGGAAUACAUCGGAAUCUACUUUUUCGUGGGGGAUAACGUAGGGAAACUUACGCUAAUACCGCAUACGACCUACGGGUGAAAGCAGGGGAUCUUCGGACCUUGCGCGAUUGAAUGAGCCGAUGUCGGAUUAGCUAGUUGGCGGGGUAAAGGCCCACCAAGGCGACGAUCCGUAGCUGGUCUGAGAGGAUGAUCAGCAAAACUGGAAAUGAGAAACGGUCCAGACUCCUACGGGAGGCAGCAGUGGGGAAUAUUGGACAAUGGGAGCAAGCCUGAUCCAGCCAUACCGCGUGGGUGAAGAAGGCAUUCGGGUUGUAAAGCCCUUUUGUUGGGAAAGAAAAGCAGCAGGUUAAUACCCCGCUGUUCUGACGGUACCCAAAGAAUAAGCACCGGCUAACUUCGUG
rnacentral:rRNA from 1 species